rnacentral:rRNA from 1 species
GAUGAACGCUGGCGGCGUGCCUAAUACAUGCAAGUCGAGCGAACGGACGAUUUGCUUGCUUCUCUGAUGUUAGCGGCGGACGUGUGAGUAACACGUGUAUAACCUACCUAUUAGUCUGGGAUAACUUCGUGAAACCGUACCUAAUACCGUAUAAUAUUUUUAACCGCAUUGUUCAAAACUUUAUUUCGUUUUUUCUUUCUCUUAUCGCUUGUUCCGCGCUGCAUUAGCUAGUUGGUAAGUUAACGGCUUACCAAGGCAACGAUGCAUAGACGACCUGAGAGGGGGAUCGGCGACACUGGAACUGAGAAACGGUCCAGACGCCUACGGGAGGCAGCAGUAGGGAAUAUUCCGCAAAGGGCGAAAGAAUGACGGAGCAAGGCCGCGUGAGUGAAGAAGGACUUCGGAUCGUAAAACUAUGUUAGUAGGGAAGAAAAUAUGUGUAAGUAAAAGUGCACAUAAUGACGGUAACGAAAGAGAAAGCAACGGCUAACUACGUG